GAGGGUAUAGCUUAAGUGGUAGAGCGCAUGCUUAGCGUGAGCAAGGUCCUGGGUUCAAUCCCCAGUACCUCCU
rfam:Camelus ferus unplaced genomic scaffold scaffold1720, whole genome shotgun sequence.